AUGAACGCUAGCGGCAGGCCUAAUACAUGCAAGUCGUACGGCAACACAGUUGCGAGCAAUCGCAACCGGUGGCGAGUGGCGCACGGGUGAGUAACGCGUAUGUAACCUACCCUUCUCCGGGACAUAACUCCGCGAAAGCGGUGCUAAUAUCCCAUACCAACUCAUCAAGACAUCUUCUUGAGUUGAAAGCAGCAAUGCGGUGAAGGAUGGGCAUGCGUCCCAUUAGCUGGUUGGUGAGGUAAUGGCCCACCAAGGCUACGAUGGGUAGGGGUUCUGAGAGGAAAGCCCCCCACACUGGUACUGAGACACGGACCAGACUCCUACGGGAGGCAGCAGUAAGGAAUAUUGGUCAAUGGGCGGAAGCCUGAACCAGCCAUCCCGCGUGCAGGAAGAAGGCGCUAAGCGUUGUAAACUGCUUUUGCAGGGGAAGAAACUUCCGGUUGCGACCGGGACUGACGGUACCCUGUGAAUAAGCAUCGGCUAACUCCGUG
rnacentral:rRNA from 1 species